rnacentral:rRNA from 1 species
AUUGAACGCUGGCGGCAUGCCUUACACAUGCAAGUCGAACGGUAACGCGGGGCAACCUGGCGACGAGUGGCGAACGGGUGAGUAACGCAUCGGAACGUGCCCAGUAGUGGGGGAUAGCCCGGCGAAAGCCGGAUUAAUACCGCAUACGACCUACGGGGGAAAGCGGGGGAUCGCAAGACCUCGCGCUAUUGGAGCGGCCGAUGUCAGAUUAGGUAGUUGGUGGGGUAAAGGCCUACCAAGCCUUCGAUCUGUAGCUGGUCUGAGAGGACGACCAGCCACACUGGGACUGAGACACGGCCCAGACUCCUACGGGAGGCAGCAGUGGGGAAUUUUGGACAAUGGGCGCAAGCCUGAUCCAGCCAUGCCGCGUGCGGGAAGAAGGCCUUCGGGUUGUAAACCGCUUUUGUCAGGGAAGAAACGCUCCGGGCUAAUACCCUGGGGUAAUGACGGUACCUGAAGAAUAAGCACCGGCUAACUACGUGCCAGCCGCCGCUGUAAGAC